AGGUUGUCCACAUUGUAUUUCAAAAUAUCAAAUCCAUCUGAUGGAUUACCCUGAUCAAGAUUUUGCUAAAUUGAAAUACAGUGACUCAUUCUUCUCCAACUCUUGGAGUGGUCAAUCCCAUCUCGAUCACACUCUGACUUCGCAAGUACUUGACUAUGCCCAAAAGCCUUCCAUCCCUAAAUUAGAAAUUCAGUUAGUCCAGUACCAAAGCACAGUGAGUUGCUUGCAAGUCACUGAGGCGAUCUCAAGUCUAAGGGACACUUAUACCUAUAUCCCAUC
rnacentral:lncRNA from 1 species